rnacentral:rRNA from 1 species
UACGAAGGGUGCAAGCGUUACUCGGAAUUACUGAGCGUAAAGCGUGCGUAGGUGGUUGUUCAAGUCUGUUGUGAAAGCCCUGGGCUCAACCUGGGAACUGCAGUGGAAACUGGACAACUAGAGUGUGGUAGAGGGUAGCGGAAUUCCCGGUGUAGCAGUGAAAUGCGUAGAGAUCGGGAGGAACAUCCAUGGCGAAGGCAGCUACCUGGACCAACACUGACACUGAGGCACGAAAGCGUGGGGAGCAAACAGG